CUUGGUGAUGUUAAGGUUCUCAUGAAUGAAAUUACAUCUGUUCGAUCCAAAAGGAUAUUGCAUGAGGUUCCUAUGGAUACAGUUACAAGGUUAUUGGAUGUGAUUGACCGUUAGAUUCGAUAUUCUCAAGGUUUGUCGAUAGAUGUGAAAGAAAAUAGCCAUUUAGCGAAUUUCUUGCAUGUUAUAACUUAGCAACUAACAAAUGAUUGGAUACCUUCAGUCUGAUGUCGUUGAUGCUGAACCUCUGGUUUUCUCUGCUUUGGAGUCCAGUCAUGCUGCGUUGGCAAUUAUGACCCACCAUGAUAUGCCAAAGCAACUGUACCGAGAAGAACUUAUUGAGCGGAUUAUUG